rnacentral:rRNA from 1 species
GACGAACGCUGGCGGCGCGCUUAACACAUGCAAGUCGAGCGAUGAAAUUUCGACAGAUCCCUUCGGGGUGAAGAUGAAAUGGAUUAGCGGCGGACGGGGGAGUAACACGUGAGUAACCUGCCUUUGACAUUGGGAUAGCCUCGGGAAACUGGGAUCAAUGCCAAAUGACACUAACUGAUCACAUGAUCAAUUGGUCAAAGAAAUUCGGUCAAAGAUGGACUCGCGGGUGAGUAGCUAGUUGGGGAGGUAACGGCCCACCAAGGCGACGCUCAGCAGCCGGCAAGUGAGGGUGAUCGGCCACAUUGGAACUGAGACACGGUCCAAAAUCCUACGGGAGGGAGCAGUGGGGAAUAUUGCACAGUGGGGGAAAUCAUGAUGCAGCGAGGCUGGGUGAGCGAAGAAGGCGUUGGGGUAGGAAAGCUCUUUUAUGAGGGAAGAUAAUGACGUUACCUCAAGAAAAAGCCCCGGCUAACUACGUG